CAAGAUCGUAUAAGAGCCUCGUUCUUAGGCUACAGAACUGAUCAUUUAAUUACACGUUUAUUUUGUGUUUUCUUUGGAAUGCCAGACACAUUGCAACCUUCAUUGACCCAGGAUCCUGGACUGAAAAAACAGGAAGAGACCUUGAGUUUUUUCCUCAACAGUGUUCAGGGAAUUCCUGUGGUGUCUACAUGCUGAUGUAUGCUCUCAGCACCUGUACAUCAUGUCCAUUAACAUUCACAGAGGAGGAGGUGCCAUUGAUUCGCCAGUGGUGGUGUAUUCAGCUGAUGGAGAGGUUUUGCCUAGAAGGUUAUGGACAGAGAUUUGCAUACUGAACAGAAGAAGCAUCCCAACUCCUUCAGGGAACCCUUGAGCCUGUCUUUAGGGUGUCCAAAUCCACCACCACAAACCUGUUGCCCAGCAGAAGAGUUGUGGUUGAAGAGAACGCUGAUAAGGUGCAACAGCCGGCCAUUGUAAAAGACCUUCAUGCAGCUUGGCACUGGGUUCACAAUCACAGAGACUUAUUCCAUGGGGAUGUGAGAGAGCCUGCAUUUCUGCAAAUGAACAGGGAUGAACAACAAAAUGCCCUCAGGAAGGUCCUGGGGGGUGAAUUCUCCAAUACAAAGGAUGAAUUUUUGUUUAUAUUUCAGUGUCAAGAGGACAUGGAAGUAUUUUUGUCAUACUGUGUUGAUGAACAAGGCCUGAAGGUCAAUGCCAUGUUCCAGUGAGUGAGUCAGUGAGGGAU